ACAUGUGUCCUCGCACCAGCUUAGGUCCUUUUUCCCAUGCUACCUUGGGAUGAGAACCCUCCCAGUCCGAGAGGCUUCUAUCUGCGGUUUGUGGGGGGGCCAGCUCUGCCGUGGUUCCCUCGUGCCAGGUCCUCACACACAGGCCUCGGAGGCAAGGCCCAGCCGCAGCCUGACUUGUCUUGGUGAACGUCUGUCAUCCUCUCAGGAGCUCAGCAAGAGAGGCAGUUUUGAGAGGAAAUGUGCCAAGCUGUUUUCCAUCCACUGCCCUACCUGUGGGAGACGCCACAGGCAGUUUCUCCUCUGUUCCCCUGGUUCCCAGGAGGCAGGGGACUUUUCACCUGUCCCCGGUCUUCAGAAACAGAUGCAGACUCUAAAACUGCUUGGCUGUGGUCCUCAGGAAGGGAGUUUCCCACCUGCUCGUGUCACCAACACCGUUGGGCCCUUUCGGUUUGGCGUAGGCCUGUGGGACUGGGACACAGGUAGCUGACGCAAGCUGAUCUUAGAUUGUCUAAAUCCACCUGGGCUCGAUGUCUCCUUCCAAGUGUGGCAAGCCAACCUCAUCACAUUCUAAGUGGCCACCACACUGCUGCUUGACCACUUGGUAGAAAACCUGAUCAACAGUAGCUUAAGAGAGGGAGGAUGUUUAUUUUCCUCACAUGCUAAGAAGUCUAGACAUAAGCAACUGCUAUGUUCAGUUGGCAACAUGAUGUCAGGGCUGAUGUCCCUGCACAAAUUCUGCAAGUUUCUUGGUCACAAGAUGGCUGCUGCAGUGGCAGCCAUCACAUCUGCAUUCAAGGCAGGAUGAAGCCGUGAAGGCAGGCACCAGCUAUCUUGUCUUUUUUUUUUUUUUUUUUUUUAAGGAAGCAAUAGCUUUCCCAGAAACCUGCCAGCAGACUUCCCCUUGUGCAUUGUUGGCCCUAACAGGGUAACACCACCCUGAACUUCAAUGGAGGCCAGAGAUCCAGUUUUGAAAGAGAGGAACUAGAUUGACAUGAUUGGCCUAGACUAGACCAGACUAGUCAGAGUAUACUGCUGAGUGGGUCUCCUUGCCUCUCUGAACCAGACAGGAGCUCCACUGGUGAAACAGAGGGGACAACAGGUUGGGUAGGCAACAACCGUGUUGCCACUCGAACCAACGUGCUGAGUCCCAGCUUUCCCCACUCCCGAAGACCAGUCAGCAUCUGAGUCCACUCUCUCUUCCUGCUUGUGCGUCAACUUUAGCUCAUACUUGAACUGGCCAGUGAAGAGGUGAUUGGGGGCCUUGUGAAGACAAUUUCCAGUUCUGCAGAAACUAGCUGAAAUACCAGAGCUGACAUCAAAUGGUUAGAAGAGAGUGACAUUAGGUGGACCUCGAGAGUCUGAAGCCACCACAAGCUUACUCACCUUUGCAGAAUUCUAACCAUAGAAACUCAAGAUUGUGGAAGUAUGCCUGACUCACACCUGCUGCAAUGGCGUUGUGUAAUGACAGAGGGGCAACAAAGGAUGGCGAUGAUGACAGGCCAGACCAAGCUGUGGCGACUUGUUCUCUAACUCCAUAAGCCAACAGGGAAAUUAUGAGCUGGUGAAACAGGUCUCACGAUCCCUCCAGAAAUUCAAAGGUGGUUUUUCAUCUCCUGCUUGCAGUGAAGAGACUAGGUUGUUCGAUGCUUCUCUUCACUUGUUCCAUUGUUUCUGUACUUGCCUUACAGGACUCUUCAUUAUCAUUUAAUCCAAGUUGUGUUCAACAAAGAUUUCUUGGGACUUCUCUGGUGGCGCAGUGAUUAAGAAUCCUCCUGCCGAUGCAGGGGACACGGGUUCAAGCCCUGGUCUGGGAAGAUCCCACAUGCCUCGGAGCAACUAAGCCCGUGCGCCACAACUACUGAAGCCCACGCACCUAGAGCCCGUGCUCCGCAACAAGAAAAGUCACCGCAACGAGAAGCCCGUGCACUGCAACAAAGAGUAGCCCCCGCUCGCCGCAACUAGGGUAAGCCCGAGCACAGCGACGAAGACUCGACGCAGCCAAAGAUAAAAUAAAUAAAAUAAAUUUAUUUUUUAAAAAAGACCCGAAGAUUUCUUAAGCCCUUUGUACAUGCUAGCCACUGAACUAGGAGCUGGGAAUGCAGCUGUAAAUAUCAGUAAGUGGACAGAGACACUAGUGUCUUCUGUUACCUUCUUCUGUUCAUUUAAUGAAAUUCAUCUGUCUUUGAGGUAUUUUGAUCAUAAGUCAGAGCAUAAAAGUAUGGAGUUAAAGUAUGGGCUCUGUUAAGACAGAUUUGAGUAUGAGACUCAGGUUCAUCACUGCAACCUGUGUGUUCAUGGAUGUUGUUAGAACACAAAAUUCAACUGAGUAAAUGUAAAGAUCUAUCGGGCUUUUUUCAACAACCCAUGAAUCGGGCGGCAUCCCAUCUAGCAAAGAGAAAGGAGCGGGACAGAAUGGAAGACUUUUCUGUGCAGACAGAGGGGAAGGCCAAGGAAAGAGCAGACCUUUUCGGGCAAGGUCACCUUACUUUAGGGGACAAAAGAGGUCUAUCAGGGGGAUUUUCUCACUAGUGCUGACCAGGAAAUUCCAGACUGACUACUGAUUCCAUUCUUGGGGAAGGCUGAAACUUCAAUUAGAUUAGGUAUUAAGUCUCAGUUUGGUAACGUAGGCUGAGGACAAGUGACUCCAUUUGGGGCGUGUUGCCUCUUUUUUAACAGUUCCCCCUUGGGUCAGACUCAGCUUAACUGAGAGCUGUGAGCAAAAUUUAAGGCAUUAGCGCUCAGCUACUGCUCUGAAGUUCUUAAAGUCUUUGUGGAUCUUCCGUGCUGUAUUCACAGGUCAUGACGUUUGUUGCUUAAUUUCUGUGAUGGUCACAAGCCAUGACUUCAGGUUCACAAUUUUGAAGUCGGGCGUUCUUUUCAUUCCUUUUCCGAUGUUCCAGUCUUAGGGAGAUCAUUUUCUUGGUGGUUAUUGGCUGGGAACAUGCACUUGAAGUGUGAGAAUACAGCACCUUAGGGAGACUACUGUGACUGUUAGAAGCAGGGUAAUUCCCGAUGCCUGGAGUGCUUUUGGGGGCCAUGGCCCCCGAGACGCAAACCAGUCAAAACCAAAUAAGUCCAACGAAGACCCCGUGGAAGGAGCCACCUUUUCAAACCAAGUGGAUCGCUCAGGGAUCCAGAGUAACUGAGUUUCAAAUUCCCGGGAAGAAUAAACCCAAGUGCAGCAGGUGGUGUUGGCCAGGGAAGUAGUAGGGCCCUACCAAAGGAAGAAAAUCCUGAACUACAAAUGCCUCCUGAUAAUUCCUGUUUGAAUGUGUGCCUCAGGACUGAAAGAAUGACAACCAUGGGUGCCAGUAAAACGUUACGUGUCGGUAGACCACACACGCAGUUUUAUUCUCGUUACCCUUGUCUUGUGUCCCUUUUUUCGUAUAGAGUCUGGAUGCAGCAUUCCCCAAGGUGGGAUCGUCGACCAGAGUCAGGGAAAUGGGUCAGGGGUCUCUAGCAUCAUAAACAGAUGAGGGAUUCUGAUGACAAUGCCAACAGUCUGAAAGGUUAUCCCCUCAGCAAUGGCCUGGGAGAUACAAAUGAUGGCAUUUCCAGGCCAAUUCCAGAGUAAAGGACAGAAGGAGAAGAAGAGAGAGUUUUAAGUUUAACGUAUGAGAUCUUGAUCCAGCGUCUUCGGAGGAAGCGGUCUACCUCAAUGUUGGCUACUUCUCUUCCUAGUCAAUUUGAUUUCGAGAUCUCCAGCUGGUGUACAGGACCAGACAUCAGGUGGAGACUUCUUCAGCUCUGAGAUAUAUACCCUAGGCUCAAGUCCCCAAAGUUUGGCUGCCAUCUGGGUAGUGUAGAGGACCUGGUAUAGUACCUUCCAAAGGAGAUUCAAGUGCUGUCUUUGUUCUCAGUGAUUCCAAAUCAGAAGGAUGGGAGAAAAUUAGCAAAUUCCUGGGCCUUACCCAGACCUACUGAAUCAACAGUCUCUGGAGAUAGAGCCCAGCAUCUGUGUUCAACAAUCUCUCCAGGUCUUGGUUAUACCUGCUAAAGUUUUAGAACUCUGCUCUGACCUAUUCUCCCCUUUACACCUCAGCUUCGUCUAAUACCUACCCAAGUUGGUUUUCCAUUCAUGGGGCCAGUGUUUUCUUUAUAUAAUCAACAGGUGUGUGGGGUUUGAUUGUUAGGUGCAGGAAUGGGAAAGGUGGAGGUGGUGGUCAUAGGAGAUAUGAUUCCAUAUUCCUUCUAAGGGAUAACAGUUUAUCCUUCCUGUCUCAUAUGAAUGGAGAAAACAAACAAUUUUAAACAGAAUUUAAACCCAGCGUUGAACCAGGUAACCAGGCCAAGGACAGAAUCUCCGGCGAUUAUCUCCCAUUUGCACCUAGCUUAUGUGAUCUUCCUUUCCUCGUCUCUUCCUCAUUCUGGCAUCUGAAGAUUACUGUCAUUAACGACAUUGUAUUAUGGCUGAAAUAUUUCUUCCACAGAGUGACAAUUUUCUUGCAUUAGAUUCCCAAGUUCUGUGGAAGAGAAAACAUUGUCCAUGACACUGAGGCCCAUCUAUCCAUAGGUUCUAUAGGACCGUACAGCCACGUGAGCCCACCUGCUCAGAAAGCAGACACUAUUAAAAUAGUCUUAUGUGCAGGGCAUAAAUUAGGAGCUUGGAAUGAACAUACACACACUACUAUAUAUAAAAUAGAUAACCAACAAAGACCUACUGUAAAGCACAGGGAACUAUACUCAAUAUCUUGUAAUAACCCAUCAUGGAAAA